rnacentral:lncRNA from 1 species
AGUCCAACAGAAAACUUUUAAGUACCUGUUUAAAGCAAUUUACAAGAUACUGCAGAGAUUCCCAGCAAUAAAGAGUGUACUAUAGUUAAGCUGGAAUCCAACUCCUGAAUUUCUGGAGCCCUGAAGACCACUUAGUCUUACUCACAAGAAUUGAAUGGAAUGUGAAUCUACACUCAGGUGAAGCCAGGGUAUUUUGAACGUCCCUACAAGACUGAAGCACCACUGGGGAAUAAGUAAUAGAGAUGCUAUCAUUGUGGAGGUCAUAAUGCUUGUCCUGAACACGAGGGGUCUCUAGUG